rnacentral:rRNA from 2 species
UUUUUAUGGAGAGUUUGAUCCUGGCUCAGGAUGAACGCUGGCGGCGUGCCUAAUACAUGCAAGUCGAGCGAACAGACGAGGAGCUUGCUCCUCUGACGUUAGCGGCGGACGGGUGAGUAACACGUGGAUAACCUACCUAUAAGACUGGGAUAACUUCGGGAAACCGGAGCUAAUACCGGAUAAUAUAUUGAACCGCAUGGUUCAAUAGUGAAAGACGGUUUUGCUGUCACUUAUAGAUGGAUCCGCGCCGCAUUAGCUAGUUGGUAAGGUAACGGCUUACCAAGGCAACGAUGCGUAGCCGACCUGAG